rnacentral:rRNA from 1 species
ACAUGGCUCAGGACGAACGCUGGCGGCGUGCCUAAUACAUGCAAGUCGAGCGGGUUUACCCUUCGGGGUAAGCUAGCGGCGGACGGGUGAGUAACACGUAGGUAACCUGCCUAUAAGAUCGGGAUAACUAUCGGAAACGAUAGCUAAGACCGGAUAANUGGUUUUCUCGCAUGAGAGAAUUAUGAAACACGGAGCAAUCUGUGGCUUAUAGAUGGGCCUGCGGCGCAUUAGCUAGUUGGUAGGGUAACGGCCUACCAAGGCGACGAUGCGUAGCCGACCUGAGAGGGUGAACGGCCACACUGGGACUGAGACACGGCCCAGACUCCUACGGGAGGCAGCAGUAGGGAAUCUUCCGCAAUGGACGCAAGUCUGACGGAGCAACGCCGCGUGAGUGAUGAAGGUUUUCGGAUCGUAAAGCUCUGUUGCCCUAGACGAACAGCAAGGAGAGUAACUGCUCUUUGUGUGACGGUAUAGGAGAAGAAAGCCCCGGCUAACUA